CUCGCGGCCUAUCAGCUAGUUGGUGAGGUAAUGGCUCACCAAGGCGACGACGGGUAGCCGGCCUGAGAGGGUGACCGGCCACACUGGGACUGAGACACGGCCCAGACUCCUACGGGAGGCAGCAGUGGGGAAUAUUGCACAAUGGGCGAAAGCCUGAUGCAGCAACGCCGCGUGAGGGAUGACGGCCUUCGGGUUGUAAACCUCUUUUAGUAGGGAAGAAGCGAAAGUGACGGUACCUGCAGAAAAAGCACCGGCUAACUACGUGCCAGCAGCCGCGGUAAUACGUAGGGUGCAAGCGUUGUCCGGAAUUAUUGGGCGUAAAGAGCUCGUAGGCGGUUUGUCGCGUCUGCUGUGAAAUCUGGGGGCUCAACCCCCAGCCUGCAGUGGGUACGGGCAGACUAGAGUGCGGUAGGGGAGAUUGGAAUUCCUGGUGUAGCGGUGGAAUGCGCAGAUAUCAGGAGGAACACCGAUGGCGAAGGCAGAUCUCUGGGCCGUAACUGACGCUGAGGAGCGAAAGCGUGGGGAGCGAACAGGAUUAGAUACCCUGGUAGUCCACGCCGUAAACGUUGGGAACUAGAUGUGGGGGCCAUUCCACGGUCUCCGUGUCGCAGCUAACGCA
rnacentral:rRNA from 1 species